UGGGUGGUGGUGCAUGGCUGUUCUUAGUUGGUGGAGUGAUUUGUCUGGUUAAUUCCGUUAACGAACGAGACCUUGACCUGCUAACUAGUGUCACACUGCUGCUGUUGUGUGUCAGACUUCUUAGAGGAAUUUUGUGUGUCCAGCAUGAGGAAGUUUGAGGCAAUAACAGGUCUGUGAUGCCCUUAGAUGUUCUGGGCUGCACGCGCGCUACACUGAUGUAUUCACCCAGUUGUCACGUUGCCUGAAAAUGUGGGGUAAUCUUUGAAAGUGCAUCAUGAUGGGGACUGACUAUUGCAACUAUUAAUCUUCAACGAGGAAUUCUUAGUAGGCGUGAGUCAUCAGCUUGUACUGAUUAUGUCCCUGCCCUUUGUACACACCGCCCGUCGCUCCUACUGAUUGAGUGACCCGGUAAACAAUUUGGAUCAUAGUGUUGCUCAGUCUUAGAGUGCUGCUUGCAAAGUCUAGUGAACCUAUCACUAGAGGAAGAGAGUCGAGCAUGC
rnacentral:rRNA from 1 species